rnacentral:sRNA from 1 species
UAACUGCCAAUUAUACGGGCAUUCUUCCCGU